rnacentral:rRNA from 1 species
GAUGAACGCUGGCGGCGUGCCUAAUACAUGCAAGUCGAGCGAACAGAUAAGGAGCUUGCUCCUUUGACGUUAGCGGCGGACGGGUGAGUAACACGUGGGUAACCUACCUAUAAGACUGGGAUAACUUCGGGAAACCGGAGCUAAUACCGGACAAUAUUUCGAACCGCAUGGUUCGAUAGUGAAAGAUGGUUUUGCUAUCACUUAUAGAUGGACCCGCGCCGUAUUAGCUAGUUGGUAAGGUAACGGCUUACCAAGGCGACGAUACGUAGCCGACCUGAGAGGGUGAUCGGCCACACUGGAACUGAGACACGGUCCAGACUCCUACGGGAGGCAGCAGUAGGGAAUCUUCCGCAAUGGGCGAAAGCCUGACGGAGCAACGCCGCGUGAGUGAUGAAGGUCUUCGGAUCGUAAAACUCUGUUAUUAGGGAAGAACAUACGUGUAAGUAACUGUGCACGUCUUGACGGUACCUAAUCAGAAAGCCACGGCUAACUACGUG